AGGUCAUGAGCUAGGUAUCAACGAUUUUAUAGCAUGUAAGUUAAACGAGCUCCAUCUCAAAUGUCAUUUCCUCUUUUUAUUGGAAUGGGAUGAAGGGUGAGGUCAUGGGUUCAUGAAUUACUGGAUGUAUGUGUAUAACUUACCAAUAAAAAAAAAAAGGAAAAAAGAUUUUUAAUCUUUUUCUUCACCAAAGAUAUGAUUUUCAUUGAAAUGAACGUGUGAGUGCAUUCUUCUAUAAUUUUCCCUUCACGCACUCAAAAAUCCCAAAAAAGGAACACUGUUCAGUUAUGAUUUGGGUUUGGGUGGUAAUCCAUUGAUCUGGAAUGGUUUUGCUGCCAUAUUUUGCAUAUGCAGUUUACUUAUUAAAUUGUUCAAUUAGUGAAUAUGUUCUCUUCUUCCCACAAUUCCAGCUUCAAGAUACUGAGACAACUUCAGGAGAAUCAGAGGUUAAAUUUCAGGUGUCCAGGGAUACUUUAGGUGCCAUGCUGAGAUCAAUGGCUUAUAUACGCGAGCAGCUUUCAAAUCCUGCCGAGACCCACUCAGAGCCUCAAUCCAAAAAGCAAAGGAAGUAAAGCAUGGUAAUUUGUGGACUUCAAAUUUCACGCCCAGAUCCCCAUGAAUGGAAAAAGUAGGGUCUCUUUUCCGUUGGGAUGUUUUCAUUUUCUAAUUAUAUGUUGGAUAGCCUCUCUUUUCCCCUUCUCUGUAAGCUUGUCCAACAUACUUGUACAUGUAAUGUAUCAAACCUGUGAAUUCAAGGCAUCAAAGAGUCUUUGUUAGGUCUGAUAUGCUCCUUAUUGUAUCUUUCCCCAUUGAUAGAUGACACCAUCUACUUAAUAUGCU